GACGAACGCUGGCGGCGUGCUUAACACAUGCAAGUCGAACGGAAAGGCCCUGCUUUUGUGGGGUGCUCGAGUGGCGAACGGGUGAGUAACACGUGAGUAACCUGCCCUUGACUUUGGGAUAACUUCAGGAAACUGGGGCUAAUACCGGAUAGGAGCUCCUGCUGCAUGGUGGGGGUUGGAAAGUUUCGGCGGUUGGGGCUGGACUCGCGGCUUAUCAGCUUGUUGGUGGGGUAGUGGCUUACCAAGGCUUUGACGGGUAGCCGGCCUGAGAGGGUGACCGGCGACAUUGGGACUGAGAGACGCACCAGACGCCUACGGGAGGCAGCAGGGGGGAAUAUUGCACAAUGGGCGGAAGCGUGAUGCAGCAACGCUGCGUGCGGGAUGACGUGCUUCGGGGUGUAAACCGCUUUCGCCUGUGACGAAGCGUGAGUGACGGUAAUGGGUAAAGAAGCACCGGCUAACUACGUG
rnacentral:rRNA from 1 species